rnacentral:rRNA from 1 species
GACGUAGGGUGCGAGCGUUGUCCGGAUUUACUGGGCGUAAAGCGCGCGUAGGCGGCUCGUUAAGUGUGAAGUGAAAUCCCGGGGCUCAACUCCGGAACCGCUUCGCAUACUGGCGGGCUCGAGGGGAUGCAGAGGUCUGUGGGAAUUCCCGGUGUAACGGUGAAAUGUGUUGAUAUCGGGAGGAACACCCAUGGCGAAGGCAGCAGACGUGGGCAUCACCUGACGCUGAGGCGCGAAAGCGUGGGUAGCAAACAGG